GUCAGGGAGGCAAAAGCCGGACUGGUCAUUUCCCAGGGCUCGACUUAAGUGGCCACGCUAACCGCGGCUCGGGUUCAAGCCACGAGAGCACUUUGCAAUCUUAGAACCUCCAGCGGGUUUCGCUGGGGGGGCACCGGGGCGGGUAGACCAAACCCGCUUCAUCCUUUCCAACCAGGAAGCUUGCUGGGGCGGUUGGAGGAACAAUACACUCUCUUCUUGCAACACCACCCGAGCCUGGCUGCGAUCAUCUACCUACUUGGGGGUGGUGUACUCCCCGGAAAGCCGGGCAAGGGGACCGGGCGAGCCCUGGACUGAAGGAAAUGGAAAGAGCGAGCUGAGCACCAUCGAGCAUCCAUUCACUGUUCCUGAUCAUAGAUGCCAUAUGAACACUUCCUCCAGUCCUGCCUCGGUGAGUUCCCUGCCAUGGUGGACUGGAGCCUGGAACCAGGAGCUGAAAUAAGCCACACAUCAGCACACACUCCUGUAAUCUCAGUAUUCCAAUGCUGAGAUGGGAGGUAGAGACAAGAGAAUUCUAAAAGCCCGUGUUCCAACUAGACUGACAGAAGCAAGAAUGAAAAAGCAGCCCUCCUGUAAGGAGGAAGCCUCCCAAGAGCUGGGAUCACGGGUGUGCACCACCACAUCUGGAUAAUGAUGCGUACCCAGAAGUGGUGCGUUUCCUCUCGGGAACACCGCAUCCUGGCACACACUUCCUGAUGAGACUUGCUGUCG